rnacentral:rRNA from 1 species
UACGUAGGGUGCGAGCGUUGUCCGGAAUUACUGGGCGUAAAGAGCUCGUAGGCGGCUUGUCACGUCGGUUGUGAAAGCCCGGGGCUUAACCCCGGGUCUGCAGUCGAUACGGGCAGGCUAGAGUUCGGUAGGGGAGAUCGGAAUUCCUGGUGUAGCGGUGAAAUGCGCAGAUAUCAGGAGGAACACCGGUGGCGAAGGCGGAUCUCUGGGCUAACACUGACGCUCAGGCACGAAAGCGUGGGGAGCAAACAGG